rnacentral:lncRNA from 1 species
CUGCCAUGAAGACGUCGACUACGUGACCUGCACAUCUUCUGGCAAUGAGAAGCUGCCACCCAAGUGCAACUGCUGCAACCUUGCCGAAGAUUGUACCCUCCACCUAUCGGAUGGGUCUCAAAUAUCUUGCUGAAGUGGCCUUCAAAAGCUUAAGCUAAUUAAAUAUCAAUAACAUAUGCAACAUUUAUCUAAAUAAAGGAUCUAAAUAUGGCCAUGUACUAUGAAAACCAUUAUUAAUUGGCAGGGGAGCCAAGAUUAUUCCAUAGUGAUGCCAGAAAUAAACUUGUAACUAUGUAUUUUGCUUUUUAUUUCAAAAUUAUGUGCAUAUGAAAUUAUAGUUUAUAUUAAAU